AUUGAACGCUGGCGGCAGGCCUAACACAUGCAAGUCGAACGAGUGGCGGACGGGUGAGUAAUGUCUGGGAAACUGCCCGAUGGAGGGGGAUAACUACUGGAAACGGUAGCUAAUACCGCAUACCAUCGGAUGUGCCCAGAUGGGAUUAGCGAGUAGGUGGGGUAACGGCUCACCUAGGCGACGAUCCCUAGCUGGUCUGAGAGGAUGACGGGCCACACUGGAACUGAGACACGGUCCAGACUCCUACGGGAGGCAGCGGUGGGGAAGAUUGCACAAUGGGCGCAAGCCUGAUGCAUCCAUGCCGCGUGUGUGAAGAAGGCCUUCGGGUUGUAAAGUACUUUCAGCGAGGAGGCGUUACUCACACAGGAAGCACCGGCUAACUCCGUGCCAGCAGCCGCGGUAAUAC
rnacentral:rRNA from 1 species